rnacentral:tRNA from 2 species
CGGGAUAUAGCGCAGCUUGGUAGCGCGCCUGCUUUGGGAGCAGGAUGUCGCAGGUUCAAAUCCUGCUAUCCCGAC